rnacentral:ncRNA from 1 species
AUGGCGCAUCCGAAAAGCCUUACGAGUAGGAG